UUUAGCCUCUUAGAUUUCAUUGGAGGGCAAGUCUGGUGCCAGCAGCCGCGGUAAUUCCAGCUCCAAUAGCGUAUAUUAAAAUUGUUGCAGUUAAAAAGCUCGUAGUUGAAUUUCUGCUGCAUCGUCGCAUCUCUUGCUGAGUGCUUCGUUUCGGCUUAUUUCGGAUUGAUUUUUUCUUUCCGGAUGAUUACUUUGAGAAAAUUAGAGUGCUCAAAGCAGGCUUUUGCCUUGAAUAGUUUAGCAUGGAAUAAUAAAGUAGGACUUUGGUUCUAUUUUGUUGGUUUUAGGUACCAAAGUAAUGGUUAAUAGGAACAGUUGGGGGCAUUCGUAUUUAACUGUCAGAGGUGAAAUUCUUAGAUUUGUUAAAGACGAACUACUGCGAAAGCAUUUGCCAAGGAUGUUUUCAUUAAUCAAGAACGAAAGUUAGGGGAUCGAAGACGAUCAGAUACCGUCGUAGUCCUACC
rnacentral:rRNA from 1 species